AGGAGGCAAAGGGAGAGAAAGGCUGCCGGAAGCAUUUCGGUUGGGAGGCAUUAGGAAUUGAAUUUGUUUCAUUUCCAGAAAUUCCUUUCAUUUCCUAUACCUCCCAUACCGAAGGUUUUCGAAGUUUCCUCCCCUUUCCUUCUGUC
rnacentral:miRNA from 1 species